rnacentral:rRNA from 1 species
CCUACGGGAGGCUGCAGUGAGGAAUAUUGGUCAAUGGGCGGAAGCCUGAACCAGCCAAGUAGCGUGCGGGAUGAAGGCCCUACGGGUCGUAAACCGCUUUUGCACGGGGAUAACACCCUCCACUUGUGGAGGUCUGCAGGUACCGUGCGAAUAAGGGCCGGCUAAUUCCGUGCCAGCAGCCGCGGUCAUACAGAGGGCCCGAGCGUUAUCCGGAUGCAUUGGGCUUAAAGGGAGCGUGGGGGGGCGUUCAAGUCAGCGGUAAAAUCGCGGGGCCCAACCGGGGCCCGCAAUUGAAACUGGACGCCUUGAGUUCACAACAGGCAGGCGGAAUUCGUGGUGUAGCGGUGAAAUGCAUAGAUAUCACGAGGAACCCCGAUUGCGAAGGCAGUCUGCCGGGGUGCGACUGACGCUGAGGCUCGAAGGUGCGGGUAUCAAACAGGAUUAGAUACCCCUGUAGUC